rnacentral:piRNA from 1 species
AGGACAGCUCAUCUGGCACAACUCCACUGU